ensembl:lncRNA
CCGACUCAAAAGAACGAUUCGUUCAAGAACCGAACAACGUCAAACCAGAAAUCAUAUGUGUUCAAGAGACAUGGCUUAAAUCAGAAAUAGAGUUUGUUAUUAAAUAUUAUAGCAUUCGUAGAGACAGAGGGGAGGGUAGUGGAGGAGGAUGUAUAAUAUUUAUAAAACAAGGAAUGCAAUAUAGAGUUUUGGGGAAAGGAAAAGAGUUGAAAUAUUUAAUAAUUGAAGUAUGGACUAGAGAAGGAAAUAUUAAAGUUGUUAACUUUUAUAAUCCAUGUAAUAAGUUGUCAUUAGAGUUGUUGGAUGAAAUGAUGAUACAGUUAGUAGGGAAGGUGAUUUGCUGUGGGGAUUUUAAUGCCCAUAGCACAUUAUGGGGUAACUAUAAAGAUACCAAUGGAAUGGUGAUUGAGGAGAUAAUGGAGAUGACAAAUUUAGUGUGUUUAAAUGAUGGAAGUGGUACAAGAAUUAAUAUCAGAACUGGUACAGAAUCAGCAAUAGAUCUUACAUUAGUAUCAGAUUCAUUAGCAGGCAUUUGCACAUGGGAAGUAGUUAAAGAAACAACAGUAGGAAGUGACCAUUAUCCUAUUGUAAUAGUAGUAGCCGUGAGUCUAGAGGAAUAUGAUACAGUAGGAUUGGAGAAAUGGUCAUUCAAUAGUGCUGAUUGGGAUAAAUUUAGGAAUAUUAGUGAUCAAGAAAUGGAAAAAAUUUAUAAAAAUAAAGAUGUUGAUAAUUUAAAUGAUUCAUUUUGUAAAGUUGUUCUAGAGGCUGCAGAGAAGUCAAUAAAGAAGAGGGCAGGAAAGUGCAAAAGUAAGAUUGUACCAUGGUGGACAAAGGAAUGUAAAAGAGCGAUACAAUUUAGAAAUAAAGCUUUUAAAGUGUUAAAAAGGAAUCACUGUUUUCAGAAUCUUAUUGAAUAUAAAAGGUUACAAGCAAAUGUAAGGAGAAUCAUAAAAAAUGCAAAGAAAGGAUAUUGGAGGAAAUUUUGUUGCUCAGUAGGAAGGGAGACAGAAAUUGGUAAAGUUUGGGGGAUGAUAAAAAGAAUGAAUGGGAUAAAAAGAGAAUAUGGAUACCCUGUCUUAAAUGAUGGAGAAAAAACAGCAGUGAGAGAUGAGGAGAAAGCAGAGAUGCUGGCUAAAACUUUUGUAACAGUUCACAGUUCAAAUAACAUUAGUGAAGAAGGAAAAAGAGGGAGGGAAAAUACAGUAAGGGAGAAUGAAGAAUUACAGCUAGAAGAAAAUUCGAAUGACCUACAAAAUGAAUCAUUUACAAUGAUAGAACUAAAACGUGCUCUCCAGAAAAAUAAGAUGUCAGCACCAGGAAUUGAUCAGAUUUAUUAUAUAAUGAUAAACCAGCUCAGUGAAAAUUCAAAGGAUGUAUUACUGGAACUAUAUAAUAAAGUGUGGGAGGAUGGGAAACUGCCACGGAGCUGGAAGGAGGCUGUGGUAGUGCCAAUACGGAAACCAGGGAAAGACUGUACAAAUCCGGGCAAUUAUAGACCAAUCGCUUUGACAUCCAACAUAUGCAAAUUAAUGGAAAAAAUGAUAAAUGAAAGGUAAACGUAUUAUAUGGAAAAGAAAGGAUAUAUAGCCAAAUAUCAAAGUGGCUUUAGGAAAGGAAGAAAUACAACAGAUUCAGCUGUAUGUUUAGAGCAUGAAAUUAGAAAAGCACAAGUGAACAAAGAAAGUGUAGUGGCUGUCUUCUUUGACAUAGAGAAGGCAUAUGAUAUGAUGUGGAGAGAAGGAUUGUUAAUUAGAAUGUGUAAAUUAGGAAUCAAAGGAUGAAUAUAUAGAUGGAUUAAGGACUUUUUACAAGGAAGAUUAAUACAAGUUAGAAUAGGAAAGAGUUAUUCAAGAAAAUAUAUUGUUGAGAACGGAACACCUCAAGGG